AGAGUUUGAUCCUGGCUCAGGACGAACGCUGGCGGCGUGCUUAAUAAAUGUGAGUCGAACGGGGGUAGUUCGCUUCGGAGGUCUUCGGACCAAUGAUUGAGCUACCCUAGUGGCGAACGGGUGAGUAACACGUGGGCAACGUGCCUCGGCGUCUGGGACAACAGCGGGAAACUGCUGCUAAUACCGGAUGGUAUCGGCGGACGGCAUCGUCUACCGAUUAAAGGCUUCGGUCGCGCCGAGAUCGGCCCGCGGCCCAUUAGCUUGUUGGUGAGGUAACGGCUCACCAAGGCGAUGAUGGGUAGCCGGUUUGAGAGGAUGGCCGGCCACACUGGGACUGAGACAUGGUCCAGACUCCUACGGGAGUUAGCAUUAGGGAAUCUUGCACAAUGGGCGAAAGCCUGAUGCAGCGACGCCGCGUGGGUGAUGAAGGCCCUCUGGGUCGUAAAGCCCUGUCAGGAGAGACGAAUGCCCCCGCUGAGGGGGACUGACGCUAUCUCCAAAGGAAGCCCCGGCUAACUACGUGCCAGCAGCCGCGGUAACACGUAGGGGGCAAGCGUUGUCCGGAUUUACUGGGCGUAAAGAGCGCGUAGGCGGCUUAGUAAGCGGCAGGUGAAAUCCCGAGGCUCAACCUCGGAACUGCUUGCCGAACUGCUAGGCUUGAGUUCGGGAGAGGAGAGCGGAAUUCCUGGUGUAGCGGUGAUAUGCAUAGAUAUCAGGAGGAACACCCGUGGCGAAGGCUGCUCUCUGGAACGCAACUGACGCUGAGGCGCGAAAGCUGGGGGGAGCGAACGGGAUUAGAU
rnacentral:rRNA from 1 species